GACGAACGCUGGCGGCGUGUUUAACACAUGCAAGUCGAACGAAGUGGCGAACGGGUGAGUAACGCGUAAUCAACCUGCCCUUCAGAGGGGGACAACAGUUGGAAACGACUGCUAAUACCGCAUACUGAAGGAGGGGAUUGCGUCUGAUUAGCUAGGUGGAGGGGUAACGGCCCACCAAGGCGAUGAUCAGUAGCCGGGCGGAGAGGAGGGACGGCAACAAUGGGACUGGGACACGGCCCAGACUCCUACGGGAGGAAGCAGGGGGGAAUCUGCCGCAAUGGACGAAAGUCUGACGGAGCAACGCCGCGGGAGUGAUGACUGCCUUCGGGUUGUAAAGCUCUGUGAAUCGGGACGCGGUACCGGAAUAGAAAGCCACGGCUAACUACGUGCCAGCAGCCGCGGUAAUUC
rnacentral:rRNA from 1 species